GGUUACGUCCCUGCCCUGUGUACACACCGCCCGGUCGCUACUACCGAUUGAAUGGCUCAGUGAGGCCUUGGGAUUGGCUUAGGAGGGUUGGCAACGACCCCCCAGAGCCGAAAACUGGGUCAAACUCGGUCAUUUAGAGGAAGUAAAAGUCGUAACAAGGUUUCCGUAGGUGAACCUGCGGAAGGAUCAUGACCGAGUGAGGGCCCUCUGGGUCCAACCUCCCACCCGUGUGUAUUUUACCUUGUUGCUUCGGCGGGCCCGCCUUAACUGGCCGCCGGGGGGCUCACGCCCCCGGGCCCGCGCCCGCCGAAGACACCCUCGAACUCUGUCUGAAGAUUGUAGUCUGAGUGAAAAUAUAAAUUAUUUAAAACUUUCAACAACGGAUCUCUUGGUUCCGGCAUCGAUGAAGAACGCAGCGAAAUGCGAUACGUAAUGGGAAUUGCAAAUUCAGUGAAUCAUCGAGUCUUGGAACGCACAUUGCGCCCCCUGGUAUUCCGGGGGGCAUGCCUGUCCGAGCGUCACUGCUGCCCUCAAGCACGGCUUGUGUGUUGGGCCCCGUCCUCCGAUCCCGGGGGACGGGCCCGAAAGGCAGCGGCGGCACCGCGUCCGGUCCUGGAGCGUAUGGGGCUUUCUCACCCGCUCUGUAGGCCCGGCCGGCGCUUGCCGAUCAACCCAAAUUUUAUCCAGGGUGACCUGGGAUCAGGGAGGCCACCUUUU
rnacentral:rRNA from 1 species